AGUCAGGAUCACCCUUAAGAGAGUGUAAUCCUAUCUACAGAAUACCUUUACAGCAAUCCCUGGAUUAGUGCUCAGUUGAAUGAGUGGGGGCUGAAUGACUGGGGACUGCAGCCUAGCCAGGCUGAUACAUGAAAAAGAUCAUCACAUAUGUCUAAACCGUGGACCAAGCCUUAAGAAAUAUGUCAACAUAAGAUUAGCUCAGAAAAAAUGUGUCAUGAGCCAGAGAAGACAGGUACAAAGUAGAGUUGAAGAACAAGAAACAGAUGAGACAACAGCCAUUUCAAAAAGAAGACGAGAACAAUAAAGGAGAGCAAUAUAUAUCAUAUAUACAAUAAUGAAGAACAAUAAUAUUGGCUAUGGUUUUUCUCGGGAUUCAGAACUUCUGAGAAAAAUACUCUGAUAUCCCUAAAGCUUUGAAAUGCAGUUAUAGGUAAAGAAGCUGCAGAAAUCAGAUGGGUUCUUUUUGGGUUAUCUAAACAUGAAAUUUUGGAGUCUAAUACAUCCUUUGGGAUUAAAAGAGUCAUUAAGAAGCCAUUUAUCUACAAAAGUAUCAGGAAGAAAGCACUGAAUCCAGAUGGUUAUCAAGUUAUAUUUUGGGAAAUAUUCAGUGAUAAAGUAUAUCCAAUUUUAAACAAGA